GUGUCAGCCGCCGCGGUAAUACGUAGGGUGCGAGCGUUAAUCGGAAUUACUGGGCGUAAUGCGUGCGCAGGCGGCGAUGUAAGACAGAUGUGAAAUCCCCGGGCUCAACCUGGGAACUGCGUUUGUGACUGCAUCACUCGAGUACGGCAGAGGGAGGUGGACUUCCGCGUGUAGCAGUGACAUGCGUAGAGAUGCGGAGGAACACCGAUGGCGAAGGCAGCCUCCUGGGCCAGUACUGACGCUCAUGCACGAAAGCGUGGGGAGCAAACAGGAUUAGAUACCCUGGUAGUCCACGCCCUAAACGAUGUCAACUAGUUGUUCGGUGAGGAGACUCAUGGAGUAACGCAGCUAACACGUGAA
rnacentral:rRNA from 1 species